AGUCCUCCUGACUUCAGGGUCGGUGCUGUAUCCGCUGUGCCACCUAGCUGCCCUGCAAAGCUUUACUUGUUAGGAGGUAUUUCCUUACCUCAAGCCUAAAGUUGCCUCUUUGAAAAUUCCAUCUAUUGCUCCCAGUUCUACCUUCCAGGACCAAACAAAACAGAUUUAUUUUCCAGCCUUAAAUUUUGUUGAAGAUAAUGGUCUCAGUAUCUCUGCUGAUUCCCUGUGAUUUUCUAAAUAAUCUCAUGUCAUGUCAUCAUCAGAUAAGAGGGGGUUACCCAGGGACCUGAAGGAACUGAGAAGAGGGCCCAGAAAGAGGAACCAGGCAGUUGAAGUACUGAACUCCAUGUGCUGAACUCCAUUUUGUUUUCUGACCUUCAUCUUGUAUGCCCUUCUUCAUGGAAGUAGGAGUUCCCGCCUUAGAAAACCCGCCAAGAAAGAUACCCACCCCAAUCUUAUUCCAUGAUCCUUAUAUGGUCCCAAAGGCAGGAUUAACCAAUCGCUUGUUUGGCUUCUGUAACUUCCCGCUUACACAACCCCUGACUGUUUCCUCUGUGGCCUCUGCCUUUAUAAACUCAAGCUCUGCCCCUGAUCAGGGCUGCUCGAUUUGGGUAUGUACCCCUUGCAACCACACGCUAAUAA